AUGUGCAUCAAGAUGCUUUGGAAUGCGAAGAAAGAUCAAGUUUGCUUCCAUCCAAUUCAAAGCCUUGAAUUGCAAUUUUUCAAGAAAGUCAUCCGCAAGGGCAAAAUGGUCAAAAGCACACUGAAAAGUCAAACUUUAACUUUCAGAUCAAAUCAAGUUUCAACAAUUUUAUUUCAUCAAGAUAUGAGAUUGGUUCAUCAAAAAAUCAAGAGUCAGAAGUUACUUUGGAAAAAUCAAAUUUUCUAA